UGAGCAAUCUACCCUUCUCUUUGGAAUAAGCGUUGGAAACGACGUCUAAUGCCGAAUACGACCUCCUUUCGCAUGAUCGGAGGUGGAAAGCUCCGGCGGAGAAGGAUGAGCUCGCGGCCUAUCAGCUAGUUGGUGUGGGUAAUGGCCCACCAAGGCGACGACGGGUAGCCGGCCUGAGAGGGUGACCGGCCACACUGGGACUGAGACACGGCCCAGACCUCCGUACGGGGAGCAGCAGG
rnacentral:rRNA from 1 species